rnacentral:rRNA from 1 species
GAUGAACGCUGGCGGCGUGCCUAAUACAUACAAGUCGAGCGAACGGACGAGAAGCUUGCUUUUCUGAUGUUAGCGGCGGACGGGUGAGUAACACGUGGAUAACCUACCUAUAAGACUGGGAUAACUUCGGGAAACCGGAGCUAAUACCGGAUAAUAUUUUGAACCGCAUGGUUCAAAAGUGAAAGACGGUCUUGCUGUCACUUAUAGAUGGAUCCGCGCUGCAUUAGCUAGUUGGUAAGGUAACGGCUUACCAAGGCAACGACGCAUAGCCGACCUGAGAGGGUGAUCGGCCACACUGGAACUGAGACACGGUCCAGACUCCUACGGGAGGCAGCAGUAGGGAAUCUUCCGCAAUGGGCGAAAGCCUGACGGAGCAACGCCGCGUGAGUGAUGAAGGUCUUCGGAUCGUAAAACUCUGUUAUUAGGGAAGAACAUAUGUGUAAGUAACUGUGCACAUCUUGACGGUACCUAAUCAGAAAGCCACGGCUAACUACGUG